rnacentral:rRNA from 1 species
GAUGAACGCUGGCGGCGUGCCUAAUACAUGCAAGUCGAGCGAACGGACGAGAAGCUUGCUUCUCUGAUGUUAGCGGCGGACGGGUGAGUAACACGUGGAUAACCUACCUAUAAGACUGGGAUAACUUCGGGAAACCGGAGCUAAUACCGGAUAAUAUUUUGAACCGCAUGGUUCAAAAGUGAAAGACGGUCUUGCUGUCACUUAUAGAUGGAUCCGCGCUGCAUUAGCUAGUUGGUAAGGUAACGGCUUACCAAGGCAACGAUGCAUAGCCGACCUGAGAGCGUGGUCGGCUACCCUGGCAGUGAGACACGGUGCAGACUCCUACGGGAGGCAGCAGUAGGGAAUCUUCCGCAAUGGGCGAAAGCCUGACAGAGCAACGCCGCGUGAGUGAUGAAGGUCUAAGGAUCGUAAAACUCUGUUAUUAGUGAAGAACAUAUGUGUAAGUAACUGUGCACAUCUUGACGGUACCUAAUCAGAAAGCCACGGCUAACUACGUG